rnacentral:sRNA from 1 species
UUAGUGGACACUACUAAGGAAAAAGGAAAAGGAAAUUAAAUCUUAUUUAUUGUAGCGUGCACUCACCAAAUAGAGAAGGCGGAUAUAGCAACCUCUGCAUUACUCAUGUAUCCGGCCAAUAAGACUAGAAUAGAAUUGUACCACAACUCUAAGCUACAAAGCAAGCCAAGAGAAGAAAUAAGUAAAAAUAGUUUUACACCAAAAUUAUGUAUGCAUCCGCAAACUUCCUCUCUCUCUAUCAGUGCAGCAGUGCAAUUGUCUUGAAAAUCACUUUUGAGUUCAUUUUAAUUUUUAAGCUUAGUACUUAAUUUGUGAAAAUAUAUAAUAAAACAUAUUCUUUGACAUAUAGCUGAUAACAAGGAAGAUGAUUUACCAAACCAUAAUGCCAGAGGAUAUCGAGAGCUUUAUUACAGGCAAUAUAUCCUUGAAAGCGGCCGUGCUGAAUCCUGUCCAAGUUUGAGGGCACCAUCCACCAAAUAUGUAUGCAAAUUCUCCAAACACAACAAACCAGGAUGAUAUGCAUAGUGCACCCAUCGCCCCAUCAACUCCCCAGUUCAAAUGGUUAACAAACAGCCAGGACAAGGGAACGUGUAUUAUAAUUUGCAGAAUGGAUAUCCAGGCAACAAAAUUGUUCUUUUGCUGCGCUUGUAGAUACAUUUGCAUCGUCAAUGUAAAAACAAAAUUGUAGACCAUCGGAAUAAACCACCACGAGAUGUACCCUGCUGAUCUGGCAAUGCCUUCUUCCUCACCGAGUAGUCUAAAGAGGGGCAUCCCAAAGAUAAAAAUAGGGAGAAAGAUAGUCGAAGUUAUGAAAUCAACAAUCCAUGAUCUUUGCAAAUAAAUACCCAUCAUAUGGUACUGUCUUGCUCCAUAUGCUUGUCCACAAAGUGUUUCAGUUGCACUUGACAUGCCUAUCUGUAGCAUGGAAAUUAUAACAUUUUAAAAUUUGGUACAAAUUCUAUUGCAUAGCCCAGAUCCAAGUGCCAAACUUCCAUUAAAUAAAUUGGUCGAGAGGUUUCCAUAUUCCAAUGUGGGAAUGGAAACUUUCCAUUUUUCAAGUUGAACACGUACAUAUUCGGUUUUAAUUUCUCAUUCAUCCAAACGUGGUUUUGAGAUAAACAAAUUAUAACAUGAACAUCUCCUCAUAGAGGAGAACGCAUAUGUCCUGAGAUAACAAAAUCAGGUAAUGGGACUCACUCGCUACAUAAACUAAACCAUUUUUCCAACAUUAUAUGCAUCUGUCUUUAUUGAAAUGGCAGAUUCUUUAGUCUCAGUCUGCUAUAACCGCCUCUUGCAGACCUUAUAAAUUUUCCAAGACUUGCACUGGGCUGACAUUUUAUCAUGUAAGUGCAUCGACCUUGAUUUUACCUCAAAUUAACCAGCAAGAUUUAGCAAAUUUACGAACAAUAAAUGAAAGGACAUAGAACAAGAAGUUACCAGUAUUCCAUUGAUAAACCGCACGCUAAGAGUUUGAACAAGUGCAUAACCAGCAAGAUCUAAUGAAUUUAAGUGUCCAAUAAAUGAUUGUGUCACUAUUAUGGUUCCGAAUGAAGCCACUCGCGCUAUAAUUCCAGGCAAUGCUACCCUCCAUAUCUUCUUGGAUUCUUCGUAAACCUUCCCUUUCAGACCGCCCACUUCUUUUCCUUCCGAACCAGAACGAAGCAGUCUCUCUUGAAUGCCAUUAUCCAUGGCUCUACAAUGACGAGAAAUCAAAAACUCAUCAAAAAAAUUUAUUCAACUCUCCAAAAAAGCCUAUUAUGUUAUAUUUCAUAAGGAUGCACAUUUCUAUGCUAAGGUGAUAACUUACUUAAAUGCCUCGAUUUGAAGUCAUAAACAAUAUCAGUUUCAUCAUGAGUGAAGUAUCCUGUUUUCUGUAUAAAUGCACAAUCAAACGGCUUCCAUUUAUACAAACCAUUCCAGUACUUGAUACUAUAUCAAAUUAUCAAGAGUUUCCUAAGGAUCAGUUCUAUGUUUUAGGAAUGAUUUCUCAUCAUUAUUUUCCUCCUAAUUUAUUUUCAUUACAGGUAGAGCUCCAUAUUAAGUUGUUAGAAGAAUGAAUUUCCCACAUAAAAGAGCCAUUUGUCCAGGUAUCAGAACCAAACGAAAUCAAUUUCCAGAGUUUGAUUAAUCUUAACUUGAAUAUACAAUAGUAAACGUCUUUCUACACUCUUUGGCGGCAUAAAUAUGUUUAAAGAAUUUUUUACUCAUCAGCCCCGAAGUCAAGAUUUAAAGAAGCAACAAAGUAGUAUUUCCCAUUUCCCGUUACAGUACUUUUAGCGUAUGCUACACAAAUCAUUUUUAUCAUUCCGUUCAAUUCAUUGUUGAAUAUAUGGGAAGAUGCAAAAUUGAAGUAAAGGGAAAAAUAUUAGCAUAAAGCUGCUCGAACAGGGCCAUUAUAGGGGGGCGAUGUCGGGGGGUGGGGGUGCCACAUCGGCCCUGGACGAACAGGGCUGAAGUGGCCUGUCUGUCUAGCACGGUUGAAAAUGUUAUGGCCAAGGUGAGUCUCACUUGAUAUUUCAAACUUUAUUAUCAAUCUUUAUUCAUGUUAUCAUGUUUAGGCUAGAAAACCAGAUCUGGUGCAUUCCCCAUUGCACUUAGCACUUCCCUGACUCAAAAGUUUGAACAUAUACAUAUUUGAUUGAGUAGUGACUGGAGAGUAAAGUAGAUGUUCAAGAAAAUUCUGAAGACCAUGACCUUUUUCCAGAAAAAUAAAAUUAAAUAAAUAAAUAAAUAAGAGAAAGAUCAACACCAACAGCAAUAGUGGCCCAUAUCCAAGGGUUAAUCUUUAGACAGAGGAAAUGCAGCCUUUUCAAAUGGAUACUUUAAAAUGGAGUAAAUUUUCUGGAUACUGUGCUUACUGUUGUAAGACUUUUUGGGCUUUGGGUUGUUUGACAGAGCUGUUCUUUCAAGAUUCUCUAAGCCAAUUUUUAUCAUGAGCCAUACAAAAAUAAUUACUACAAAAUCAUAAAGAAAUAAAUUAAGGGGAAAAUAAGGAUAACAAAAAAAUCUCACAAAGUUUGCUCAAGAUUUACAUCUGAUAAUCGAAAGGUUAAAAAAAAAACAGUCGGUUUAGUUUACAUUACAGAGCAAGGCAGAAGGAAAAUGUUUGAAGAUAAUGAACUGUCCAGCAGUACUUCUUGAUCAAACUUGUUGCUGCUAUAUUCCAAAGUUUUAAUUGUCUUUUGCCAAAUUCCUGUGCAGGCCGAGAAUUUUUAUUUAUUUAUUUAUUUAUUUUCACACAAGACGCAUAUAAUUAUUUUCAUUAAAAGACCUGAACGAGAUUUGAGUUCAUGAUCUCUGUCUAAAAGACUAAAUAGUAAGAGAGUGAACGCGAAAUCAAAUUUGUCAGUCUGAGAUCGAUAACUAACCAGAAACACACACAGGGACUUGAUUUAAUGAAAUCAAAAGGAAUAUCAAAUAAAUAAAACCAGUUAUAAUAGAGAAAAAUUUAGCAGACGACAUAUAGAUAUACAUAUAUUAGAUUACAGAAGUGAUCGCAGAGAGGGAACUUAUUACUUACUUGAUUGUGUUUCGAGUUUCUAAACAAGAAUUGCUUCAACCCAAAUCCUCAAGAGUUGACCUAAAAACUCUUUCUGUACUUUUGUGGCUGCAUAUGUGAUUCUUGAACACACUGAUACUCCUCUCUCUCUCUCUCACUCUCACUCGCACACAGAAUUUUGACAUAUAACAGAUCACCUAUAGUAGUUUUUAUUAAAAAUAAUAGAAAAAGCUGAAACGUGUUGACAAACAACAGACAACUAAUUCUUGAAUGCAUGCUAGUGUCUAUAGGCUACCUACCACCUUCUACCUCAUGUUUUCUAUUUCAAAUUCCUCUUUUGAUCUCCGUUGGAGAAUAAUGUUAUUUAACACCCGUUAAUAACAUUAUAUGAUACAUUUAAUUAAGAGUGAAAUUAUAUGAUUUAUUUAAUUGUAUUUUUCAUUUAAUGACAUUUAUUUUCAUCUAAAUUGAAAUUGUAAUAUUAAUGAUGCUAAAUAGUAUUACACUAAACAAUAAAUUGCAUGUGUAUAUAAUUGUAAAUAAUGACUUGUUACUUAUGUACGUAAAAUAAAAAAUGACAUUUUUCCACUUAAAUUUCAACUUUUGGAACUUUUGAUUGUCAUUUUUUUUUUAUAAAAAAUAUUUUUCUACAUAAUAAAUUUAUCUAGUUUUCCUUGUUUCUGAGAAAAACAUUUUCGUUUUGGCAAAGGUAGGAUAUUAUUUUCCUACCUUUAUAGUUAAUUGUAAUUAAUACAAAAUCAUAACUUUUAGGGUUAAUUAAAAUACAAUAAAUUAAUGUCUCUCUUAGACAAAGCAACUGAGCAAGUAUGAUUAUUCGUAUUGUUUUUAGUUUUUUUUUUUUUUAAUUUGAUAUGGGCAACACAUUGUUAAUGUACUAGAUUUGUACAAUUUUCAGUUUAGUUAUCACGGUACCUAACAAGUUUUCUCUCAUCAUAUCACCUAACAUGUAGGCAAAUUGAUAUUAUGUGAUGAUAAUUGAGAUACCACAUGGCCUAAAUCGAAAUUCUCUUCAAUUUACCUCAAAUGUUAAUUCUAUUUUAAAAUCAUGAACCUCGUAGACAACUUUGUAUAAUUUGACUUGUGACCAAUAGCGAUUUUUCAUGUCAAACGGGCAUCAUUUAUUUAACUUAAAGUGUAAAUUUUGAUAUAAUACUAAUUAGUAUUAUAUGUGGAUGCCUCGUUGAAGGAAGGGGACAAUAGCUAUGGUGUAGGGAUGAUCAUGCAGGCUUAUCAGGCACUCGUGCAAGAUAUAAGGGUGGCUAUAAGUAGACUACAUAGAGACUGUUUUUCGAAUAAUUAGUUGGCCUUGGGGUAAAUUACUUGUAGGAUUGAUUUAUUUUGACGGAAGAAAAAUGAUAGAGCGGUUGAUGGAUAUUUAUAGGUUAGUAGAUGAAUGGACAAAAAUGUUGAUUGUAUUUUAAACUAUCCAAUAAUUUAAUGUCAUAUAAUAUUAUGUUAAAGAGUAUGAUAAUCUUUAUAUCAUUGUAGCAUGAUUAUUUUUUAUAAGAAGUUUUUUUUUUAAAUAAAAUCUCACCAAAACAUGAAAAAAAAAAAAAAAAAAAAAAAAAAAAAAAAAAAAAGGGUGUUAGGUGGAAUGAGGAGAGAAGGGUUAGAUAAGCUGAGGUUAGGAAGGCAUAUGGGUAGGUAACAGAUCCAUCGGCGGCUUGGGAAAACGCGUACAAAUAUAUUAUAGAUAUGUGUGUGUUGCGUUGACUUUUUGCCCUCAUUAAAAAAAUAAUAAUAAAUAAAUAAUCUCAAAUUUAUUCCCUACAAAUUCUAAAAAUAAAAUAUUUUACUCGUAAAUUUAAAUUUUUAUUACUUUUUAAUCACGACCACUAUUUCAAAAUUUUAUUUUUCUUCCUUUUAAUGAUUGUCAAAUAGGGCAUUAAUUGAAAAAAAUUAAAAAUUUUGAGCGCCUCAAAUUCAAUGUACUUGA